CCUACGGGUGGCUGCAGUGGGGAAUAUUGGACAAUGGGGGGAACCCUGAUCCAGCCAUGCCGCGUGUGUGAAGAAGGCCCUCGGGUUGUAAAGCACUUUCAGUGAGGAAGAACGCCUGGUGGUUAAUACCCAUCAGGAAAGACAUCACUCACAGAAGAAGCACCGGCUAACUCCGUGCCAGCAGCCGCGGUAAUACGGAGGGUGCGAGCGUUAAUCGGAAUUACUGGGCGUAAAGCGCGCGUAGGUGGCUUGAUAAGCCGGUUGUGAAAGCCCCGGGCUCAACCUGGGAACGGCAUCCGGAACUGUCAAGCUAGAGUGCAGGAGAGGAAGGUAGAAUUCCCGGUGGAGCGGUGAAAUGCGUAGAGAUCGGGAGGAAUACCAGUGGCGAAGGCGGCCUUCUGGACUGACACUGACACUGAGGUGCGAAAGCGUGGGUAGCAAACAGGAUUAGAUACCCGUGUAGUC
rnacentral:rRNA from 1 species